GACGUAGGGCGCGAGCGUUGUCCGGAUUUAUUGGGCGUAAAGAGCUCGUAGGCGGCUUGUCGCGUCGUUCGUGAAAACCCGGGGCUCAACUCCAGAUCUGCGGUGGGUACGGGCAGACUAGAGUGAUGUAGGGGAGACUGGAAUUCCUGGUGUAGCGGUGAAAUGCGCAGAUAUCAGGAGGAACACCGGUGGCGAAGGCGCCACUCUGGGCCGAUACUGACGCUGAGGAGCGAAAGCGUGGGGAGCGAACAGG
rnacentral:rRNA from 1 species